ensembl:lncRNA
GACAAAGUGGAAGAGACUUCAUGGUGCAGCCUGUGGCUUGUCACACCAGCCUGCUCCUCCAGACUCCAGGGCUCCCAGGGUUGCCAGUGGGCACUUUGCCUGGCAGGCUGGCACCUGUCUGCCCUAUCCGAGUCCUAGGGCACAAUGCCUGCUGGAUCCUGGACCUGGAGCACAUUGUGUCCACCAGCGCAGCCUGCUCCCUGGAGGACAUGAUUUCCACCAGCUCAGUUCUUGCCCUUGGGAAGAAUGGUUCCCAGUGCCCUAGGCAGGAGGGUGCUGCGCCAGCCACACUGUGCCCGCUCCCCUCUCAGGAUCCCAGGUAGAAGGCAAUGUAGUGCUGUAAACAAGAACCCAGCUGGUGCUGCCCUUAGUAAGCUUGCUACACAUGGAGCAUGAGCUUGGGCAGUACUAGAUACUGCCAGAGUAGGGUCACAUGCCCAGCACCCGUGCUGGCAUGUAAUGGUGGGCUGGUGUGGUGCUGCCAUGUAAUGGUGUGGUGCUGGCGUGGUGUUGGCAUGUACUAGUGUGGGAUCAGGGUCUUCCAGGACUUCUUGGCUUGGAAGCCAGAUGUACCCAGUGAGGAAAGAUGAGAGACAGGGAGAGUGUGUCAGAGCUGGGGCCUUCACCCUCCGACACACACACCUCACAUGUGCAAAGGCUGCCCAGGAUCUCAGACACCUCUUCUAAGCUGAGCGUGCCCCACCAAUCACUGAGUUCAAAACCUCCCCAGCCUCUUCUUGUGGAGUCAAGAUGGGCUCGUCUGUCCCCAUGUAGAUCACAGGUUUUGUCUGCUCACCCCCAACCUUUAGAGGUGGCCACUGGUUUUUCAGGUAAGGAAACUGAGGCACAGAGUGGUUAUGUGACUUGCUCGGGUCACACCUUGACCUGCUUUGGAGCCUGGACUUGAACUCUGAUCAGUUGGCUCUAAAAGCUCAGACUGUUGGCCACCACACAUGUGGCCACCCCCUCAGGACCCAAACCUACAUUCUCUAUACACUAACACUGCCUGGUGCCCAUCUGCAGGUGCAGAUACCCUGGCUGUGCUCUGGAUCUGAAAUUCCUGCUAGGUGCUCACGUGUGCAAGGCUCCAACCUCAGUGAGGAGGUGGCCAGAGGCGGGGCCUUGGGGGGCGAUUAGAUCAUGAGUGCUCUGACCUCCUUAGUGACCAGUCAUUGCUAGACUAACUCAGUGGGCUGUGGGGAGAAGACAGGUCACCAGGGCAUGUCUUUGAAGGACAUUAUUGCAGGAUAUUUGUGUACGCUGCGAAAAUGUGUCUCUGCCUAAGGCACCUUACAACUGGUUUAAUAAAGAGCUGCACUGUACGGCCAAUAGCUUGGCCAGAGAGGAUUGGCAGAAUUUCCAGGGAAGAGAGAGGAAGAGGAGAAGGAAUACAAGAGAUGUAGAGCAAGUUGGACAUACAGUUCAGAGGAGAGAUAACAGGGCCAUGAGGCAAAACAUAGAUUAACAAAAACAGUUUAAUUAAGUUAUAAGAGCUAGUUGGGAAAAAGCCUAAGCUAAGACCAAGCUUUCAUAAUUAUUAUUAAGUCUCUGUGUCAUGGGGAGCUGGCAGUCCCACAAAGAAAAGUCCGACUACAUUUCAGAAAGCUUCCUGUAGGACAUACUUUCCCUCUGUUCCCCUUGCUCUGUUUCCUGCUCCCUGAAUAGUGAACAGCUGUGGUUCACACCCAUUCCCUGACAUGACACUCUGAACCAGCCUACCAUGGCGGAAAGCCUCUGAGUCCAAAUCAACCUUUGCCGAAGUGUUCUGUCACAGCAGCAAGAAGCACUGACCGACAGCAACUAACCCGACAUUGCCGUUUAGGACGCUCAUGCCUCAGGGCCUUUGUUCCUGUCAUUAGGGCUGGGCAUGGCUUGCCCAGAGAGACUCUCCCCAUUCAAUCCCCCUGUCUCCUCCUAGCCUAGGGAGUUCACAGUCUCCUGAGCCCAGAGCUCAGGAACUGGCUUUAUCUGGCUUUCAGUGUUAGCUUGCUGGCUGUGGGGCCUCACAAGCUGCCCUCUGCCCCUCAUUUCUACUUUAUUGCAUGGCUCGGGACAUGGGGGCUUGAUAAAGGUGGCAUGGCUGCUUGGCUGCAUGGUCCAGGGUAAGAAGGACAGGAAAGGCAGGGUGGUUGCUGCUUAAUCUCUUUCCCCAGACUGCAGGGCUGCAGUUCCCUUUCCUGCUGUCUCUUCCAUUCAUGAAAUAUUAACUGAGUAGCUACUACACGCCAGACCCCUGCUGAAGGCUGAGGAGCCCACUGAGCUCGGUCUGUGUCCCAUGACUGCCCCCCCACUCUGUGUAUGUAUAUAUGUAUAUGUUACACUCAC